UGUGAAUGUCUUAUGUGGACUAUGCUGUUUUUCUUUUCACACCAAAUAAGUACUUGGAUCCUCUUAUUUUUCAGUUUAGAAAAAACCCAUGUUUGAUGUUAAACAUCGAUUUCUAAGGUUUUAAAUGGAUGGAGUUAAAUCUCCUCUCUCCUAAAUUUCAUUUCAUUUUAAGGGCAUCUCUAAAUCAUUUGAUCUUAUGUUAGCUCGUUGUACAAUAUAAUAAGCAUAAAUAAUGUUCCCGACCCUUUUAAUGUACCCAUACUCAUUUUUUAAUAAAUCUCUUCAUAAUUUUAGAUUAAGAGUUUAAAGAGGUUUGAUCCUUAAAUACAUAUUCCCACAACAUAUGCAUAUUAGAGUCCAUGUAGUACCCUGUCAUGUGCCUAAAAUGUGCUUACUAAAUAAAGAGAGGCGGGAAGGUAGUAGUAGCCUUAGCACAUGGUAGUUAGCAGUUGUAUAAAAUUUUGGCGGGAACUAUUCAAAUGUCCACUUGAUUGUCCACUUGGCUGGUAGAUCAAUAUAAAUACACACUAAUCUCACUCGAAGAACAUAUGAAUGAAUUGAAUCUUGAAUUUCCCUCUAAAUUCUCUCUCUCUCAAGUCUCCUCUACACAAUUCUCCAGAAUUUUGAAUUCCUUGUAGAAUUCUUAAGAUAUACUUGUCAGAUCCGUUGGACCUGACAAUUUGGUAUCAGAGCGAUCCAGGCCAAGCGAAAUUGCUGGAAAGAUCCGGUUAUGGCAGACAGCACGAGGAUGAAGAGUAUGAAGGCGCAACUACACCAAUUUGGGUCCCCAGUAUCGGAUUUGCAGGCAAGGGUAGAUCAGCUAGAAUCGGGAUCAAAUCGUAAUCACGAGGCGAUCAUCUCCAUUGAUCUCAAAUUAGAUGGUGCAGUCAAUCAGAUUUGAGAAGAAGUAGGAGCGCAGAUUCGUGAGCAUCUGCAAGGCUUCAUGGUCAUGUUUGUGCAACAACAAUUGGUAAGCCUCUCCCCAGAUUUUCCUCCUAGGGAAAAAGAAGAUCUGAUCCUUCUCAGUCAUGGGAUGAGUCAGAGGAGACCGGGAACUUCUGAGAUUUGAGAGGAACUAGGGUAAAUGGGGGAGAAUGUGGCUGGUCGAAGGCAAGGGGUGAAUGGAGGGCUUGGCCAUUAGGGGAUACCAAUGCCAAAAUUGGAUAUCCCCAUGUUUGAUGGAAGUACACCUCAAUGGUGGAUUAGAAGAUGUGAGAAGGCUUUUGAGUGGUUUGGAAUCCUUGAGCACCAGAAGGUGACUAUGGUUGUGACCUACCUUAACAAUGCUGAGGAUGAUUGGUACCAAGGAUGGGCCAAGACAAGGGGGGAAUGUCCAUGGGCAAAAUUUGCAGCAGAAUUCCCAUCUGCUUCAAUUUUAACAGGAUGGAGGUGACUUUUGAGAAAGAAGGGAAGGGAAUGACAUUGGUGGGCAGUAAGGAAGUCGGAGUGUGCAAGAUGAUCACGGGGAAGCAUUUACAGAAGAUGCUCAAGCAAAAACUAACUCAAGUGGCCCAACUUUUCUCUAUACAGGCAGUGGAAGAAGGGGAGGAGAAGGAUCAAAGGAUAGACUGUGAACUCUUGCUAGUGGUUAGCAGCCCCUCUCAAGCAAAGUGGGAGGUAAAUCAACUCAACCUAUUUCAUAUGCUUUUGUUUGAAUAUGAGAAUCUCUUUAGGGAGCCAAUAAGUCUACCUCCUCCUAGAACCCAUGACUACAACAACAACAACAUAUCCAGCCUUUAUCCCACUAUGUGAGGUCGGCUACAUGAAUUCUAGACUUCCAUGUAUUUCUAUCUUUUGUCAUAUCUUCAUUGAGAUCCAUACACUUCAUAUCAAACUUUAAUGUCUCCCUCAAAGUCUUCUUAGGUCUGCCUCUACCUCUUUUUUUGAUUAAUUGUUCCAUUUCAUCAACUUUCAUAACAUGAGCGUCUCUUGGUCUCCUUCUCACAUGACCAAACCAUCUCAAUCUAGUCUCUUUCAUCUUCUCCUCUAUUGGCACUACUCUUAUCUUAUUACGAAUAACUUCAUUUUUAAUUUUAUCUUUUCUUGUAUGGUCGCACAUCCAUCUUAACAUCCUCAUCUCCGCUACACUCGUCUUUUGCUCAUGUUGGUAUUGGACUGCCCAACAUUCUGAGCCGUACAACAAAACUGGUCUUAUAGCUGUCCUAUAGAAUUUUCCUUUCAAUUUUAAUAGGAUUUUACCAUCAUAUAACACCCCGGAUGCAUUUCUCCAUUUUAGCCAACCUGCCUUAAUUCUAUGUGUGACAUUCUCAUGAAUUUCUCCAUCUUUUUGAAUCACUGAUCCCAAAUAUCAAAAAUGGUCUUUUCUUUGUAAGAUUUGGUCUUCCAAUUUUAUUAUAACAUCCUCCACUCUUGCAUUCUUACUAAAUUUACAUUCCAUAUAUUUUGUUUUCUUUCUGCUUAAUUUAAAUCCCCUAGAUUUUAAAUUGUUUCUCCAUAACUCAAGUUUAGUGUUCACUCCUUCUUUUGUUUCAUCCACCAACACUAUGCCGUCUGCAAAUAGCAUACACCAUGGCACCUCUGUCUGAAUAUCUUUAGUGAGUUCACCCAUGACUAUUCCAUUGAUUUGAAACUCAAUUCUAAACCCUUUAAUGCACAAGCCUAUCGUUACCCCCCAGCCUAGAAAACACAAAUAGAGCAAAUGGUCAAAGAUUGUUACAACAGUCCCUAAUUCAACCUAGCCAUAGUCCUUACAUAUCCUUGGUAUUGCUGGUAAAGAAGGAUAGAUCAUGGUGUUUCUGUAUAGAUUACCGCCUGCUAAACGCCAUGACCAUCAAAGACAAAUAUCCAAUUCCACUCAUUGAAAACCUCCUAGAUGAAUUAAGGGAUGCAACCAUUUUUUCUAAACUUGAUCUAAGAGCUGGCUAUCACUUGAUUCGAAUGAGCCCUAAAGAUAUACCCAAAAUUGCUUGUCGAACCCACUAGGGCCAUUAUGAGUUCUUGGUAAUGCCCUUUGGCCUUACUAAUGCCUCGGCUACUUUCCAAUCUUUGAUGAACCACAUUUUUGAACCCCACCUAAGAAACUUCAUCCUGGUAUUUUUUGACAAUAUAUUGGUGUAUAGCCGUACUUUUGAUCAACAUUUGACACACCUUAAGGCCACCUUUGAGAUCCUCAGAGUCAACCAAUUGCAUAUCAAAAGGUCGAAGUGUGCUUUUGCUCAAAGGCAGGUGGAAUACCUCGGGUACAUUAUUUCGGGCCAAGGGGUCAGCACAGACCUGAAGAAGGUAGCAGCCAUGCAGUCUUUUUUUUUUUUUUUUUGUAAUUACAGCCAUGCAGUCUUGGCCGAGGCCUAACACCCUUAAAGCCUUGAGGGGGUUUCUAGGCCUAACAGGGUAUUAUAAGAGGUUCGUGAAGAACUAUGGGAUCAUUAGUAGGCUUUUAACUCAAUUACUGAGGAAGGAAGGUUUCAAGUGGGAUGCUUAGGCUGAAGCAGCCUUUGAACAACUCGAGGGAUAUGAGUGAGGCCCCAGUGUUGGGCUUACCUAACUUUAACAAAACCUUCGUGCUGGAAACAAACGCCUAUGAGACUGGAAUUGGGGUGGUAUUAAUGUAGGAGGGAAGGCCCCUAGCAUUUCUCAGCCAAGCCUGAACCCCUAGACAUGUGGGGCUAAGCAUUUACGAGAAGGAGUUUGUAGUUGUGUUGAUGGCAGUGGACGAGUGGAGGCACUACUUAGAAGGGGCUCAAUUAGUGAUCAAGACUGACCAUCAAAGUUUAAAGUUUUUGCUUCUACAGAAGUUACACACUCAAUUACAAAAGAAGGGUAUGGCAAAGCCGAUGGGUUUUGACUACACUAUACAAUACAAGAAGGGGAAGGAUAAUGUAGUGGCUGAUGUUUUGUCUAGAUGUCAGGAGGAGGGAGAAGCAAUAGCGAUAACUGCCUUGGUACCAGAUUGGUAUCAAGAGGUGGCCUCCAGUUAUGAUUCCAAUGAGCAGAUCAAAGGGUUACUAGAGCAGUUGAUCUCCGGUCCCACCAACAAAUCAGGGUACACACUUAAAAAUGGGGUGAUCCGAUACAAAGGAAGAAUAGUGAUUAGGGACAAACAAGACAUCAAACAAAGGAUACUGCAAACCCUCCAUGAGUCCCCAUUAGGAAGACACUCGGGGAUUCAUAGCACAUACCAUAAGGUAAAGCAACUUUUUUUUUUGCCUAAAUUGAAGAAAGUUGUGGUUAAAUUUGUGAUGGCAUGCGAUACUUGCAAGAGAUGCAAGCAUAAGAAUGUAGCUACCCCCGGAUUGUUACAACCCUUAACUGUUCUGGGCCAGGCAUGGGAGAGCUUGUCAAUGGAUUUUGUGGAAGGACUGCCUAGAUCGGAAGAGAAAGAUUGCAUACUAGUGAUGGUGGAUAGGUUCACGAAGUUUGCUCACUUCUUGAGCCUUUCUCACCCAUACACCAUGCAAGAAGUUGCUAGAGUAUUCCUUGAUCAGGUUGUUAAGAUACAUGGGACUCUUAGAACCAUCAUCUUUGACUGUGACAAGGUAUUCACCAGUCUAUUGUGGCAGGCUCUACUAAUUUCCCUUGGGUCUAAGCUAAGCAUAUCAUCAGCCUAUCACCCCCAAACUGAUGGACAAACGGAGAGAGUCAAUCAAUGUUUGGAAAACUACCUGAGGUGCUUAUGUUUCCACCAUCCCAAGAGCUGGCACAAGUGGCUAUCACUAGCCCAGUGGUGGUACAACUCCAGCCACCACACUUCUAUCAGGAUGUCACCAUUCGAAGCUCUGUUUGGGUAUAAGCCUCCCCUACUUCCUGCUAUUUAGGAGACUACCAAUGUGGCAACUGUAGAAGAUUAUCUCCAACAAAGGCAAGAAAUCUUGGGACAGCUAAAGAGGGAUUUAGCUAUGGCUCAAAAUAGAAUGAAAUAACAUGCGGAUAAGGGAAGAAGCGAAAGGGAAUUUGCAGUAAGGGAUGAGGUCUAUCUGAGACUAAGGCCAACCCACAUCUGGGCAUUAACUACAAAACCAGUGUCCAAGUUAAGCCCCAAGUACUAUGGCCCCUUUCCCAUUGAGGCUAAUUUGGGUAAGGUGGCAUAUCGGCUGCGACUACUGGAGAAUUCCCAUAUUCAUCUGAUAUUCCAUGUGUCGCUAUUGAAGAGGGGCGUUAGAGGACAACAUGUGAGUGCAAGUCUGCCUCAGGGUAUAAGCAGCAGUCCAGCUCAGGCAAAACCCACAGUUGUUCUAGAUAAAAGGGUCAUUUACAAGGAUGGAGCCCCCAUAACCCAAGUGCUGGUGAAAUGGUCUCGUCUUCACAACGACCACAACACAUGGGAAUAUCUCCCUAAUUUGUUCACACAGUUCCCUAGGGUAGCUAGUCUACUUUGUAUUUCUAUAGUAGCCGUAGCACAUGGUAGUUAACGGUUAUAUAAAAUUUUGGCAAGAACUAUUCAAAUGUCCACUUGAUUGUCCACUUGGCUGGUGAGAUCAAUAUAAAUACACACUGAUCUCACUCGAAGAAGGCAUGAAUGAAUUGAAUCUUGAAUUUCUCUCUAAAUUCUCUCGCGCGCUCUCUCUCUCUCUCUCUUCUUCUUCUUCUUCUCUCUCUCUCUCUCUCUCUCUCUCUCUCUCUCUCCGAUCAAAUCUCUUCUACACAAUUCUCUAGAAUUCCUUGCGGAAUUCAUGAGAUAUACUUGUCAGAUCCGUUGGACUUACAUACCCAUUCCUGACUUGAAGUUUCAAAAUGGCAAAAAGCUUUUAUGUCCACAUUGCUCUCCACUUUGUUAUUUAUUUUGUUAUAACAUACAUAUAAUUUAGGUAUCAAAUUUCACAUGGUGGGUAGUAUGGCAAAAAUUGGAAUGCAGACAAGAUGUUAUGUGACCUUUAAUUGUCUUAAUUCCUAAAUCAAGCUUUAUUUUUUUCCUUAUAAAAAAAAGAGGAAAAAAAGUUGAGCUUGUUUACAGUUGCAUGUUAGUUAUGUGCAUAUGAGAUAGGCAAGAAAAUAUUUUCAGAAUAGCACCAAGAUAGUUGAGUGUAGGGUUGCAAUCGAGCCGAGUCGAGGCUAAGCUCGACUUGACAAACUUGAGCUCGACUCGGGCUCGGUUCGUCAAUUUGGUUGACGAGUCAAGCUCGGGCUCACCACCACUAAAAGAGGAUAUUGUGCAACAACGACAACAAAGGGAGGGGUGUGCAGCGACAACGGUCGGCGGCUAGAGGCGAGGCGACAGCGAAGGGAAGAGGAACAGGCAAAUGUAGAUUGUUGGGGAAGAAGAGGAACAUGCAGCAAUGGAAAGGGAAAAAAAGAGAGGGAGAAGGGUUUCUUGGGGGGAGAGACCCACAAAAUCUAAUAAAUGAUAUAAAUUAUAAUGAUAUGUAUGUAUAUGUAUAUAUGUUAAAUAAUAUAUUUAUGAAAUAUAUAUCUAAUAUAUUAUACAUAUAUAUAUUAUCUAAUCAUAAAAUAAUAUAUUUAUAAAAUUAUGAAUAAAUUUAUUAAUGUAUUUAUAAAUGAACCUAUUUUCACGAGCUAAUCGCAAACUUCUAAUCGGACCUAUUUGCGAGCUUUUAAUUGAGUCAAUUCGCGAACUAAUGAAUCAAGCUUUACUUAGCUCAAACUUGGCUCAUUUCCAAAUUGAGCUUUAAAGUUAGGCUCAAGCUCGGUUCAUUUACUUUAACGAAUGAAGUCGAGCAAGCUUUUAUCAAGCUAAACACCGAACUGCUCACAAAUAGUUCAGCUCAUUUGCGACCCUAGUUGAGUGUAACCCUAUACAUAGAAUGCAUACAAUGUCAAAAUUCAAAAAGAAUACCUGAAUGACCCAACCAGUUAUGUAUUCACUUGUCAUAUGCAAAUUUCCAAAUCAAGCUAUUCUCUAGAAGAGAAACACACGUGCACACACACACAGACUUUUGAGUACAUCAGUUCUAAUAGUAUAGAGAGGUAGUGCAAGAAAGAAAAUUGGUAUGGAAAAGAGGAUUAAAGAGCAGGGGGAAAAAAGAGACUAAAUAGGUAGAGAGACAGGGCAGGUUGUGUUUGUUCCAACUCUAUGAACAUUGGAUUAUUGUUUGAUCAUUAAUGAAUCUCCUGUCUUGGAACAUGUCCUUCAUAUAGUUUAAAGAGACAAAUUGUGAAAGAAAGUGUUCUUUAGGAUGUGGGAAUUGUUGCAUGUUGGCUGGUUCUUGUAAUCUUUAGGCAGCGCUUUGAACCUCUUUUGAAGGCUCAUGCAGGGAGAUUGUGUUUUCUGAUGUGCUGUUCAAGAGCUUUCAAGGAUACCUGACCUAGGAUGGUUGAAAUAUGUUUGGGGGCUUGAAGUGGCUUAUUCUUUCUCAUGUUUUCCUUGGAACGGUCCACAGAGUGGGGGUGAUUCAGAAAAGUAUGUACAAAAUAGGUUCCUGGACUACUGAAAAUCAGGUAUAUCGGGCAAACCACACUCGGCAGCGCUGCCAUUUUUGGUCUUUUCUUGGGUGCGGGCAGCUUGUUACACUGCGGGAGGUCGUAUUAAUCUCUGCAUUUCAGUUUACCAAAUAAGUUGGUUCCAUUUUGCUUACAAGAGUUGGCUUAUCGACAGUCUGCAAAUAUAGAUGUUUAGUGACUAGCAACCAUUUUCUUUACUUUGUGGUCCUCAUUUUUACUUUCUGUUUAUCUUAGCCAAUUCAUAAUGACUUUAGUAGUCUGUGAACAUGCCAUGUGGUGCUUUUCUUCUUUGAGAUGUCUUCGUGGUCUUUAAGGUCAAGGAUUGUUUCUUGGACGUUAUUUCAGCACUUGUCUUUUAACUCCCUCACAAAACAGCAAGUAUUGCAUAUUUGGACGCCUUCUGAAUUGCUUAUUGCAUACUCAUUUGAGGGUUGUAAACAGAUAAUGAUUCGUAUUUGUAGUUC